AACGAACGCUGGCGGCAUGCCUAACACAUGCAAGUCGAACGAGACCUUCGGGUCUAGUGGCGCACGGGUGCGUAACGCAUGGGAACCUGCCCUUAGGUUCGGCAUAACUCCCCGAAAGGGGUGCUAAUACCGGAUAAUGUCUUCUGACCAAUGGUUUAUCGCCUUUGGAUGGGCCCGCGUUGGAUUAGUUAGGUGGUAGGGUAAAAGCCUACCAAGGCGACGAUCCAUAGCUGGUCUGAGAGGAUGAUCAGCCACACUGGGACUGAGACACGGCCCAGACUCCUACGGGAGGCAGCAGUAGUGAAUAUUGGACAAUGGGCGAAAGCCUGAUCCAGCAGUGCCGCGUGAGUGAUGAAGGCCUUAGGGUUGUAAAGCUCUGUUACCCGGGAUGAUAAUGACAGUACCGGGAGAAUAAGCUCCGGCUAACUCCGUG
rnacentral:rRNA from 1 species